CUGUACAGUUCAGAGUUUGAUCCUGGCUCAGGAUGAACGCUGCGGCGUGCAUAACACAUUCAAGUCGAACGGAGUUGUUUUGAUUAAUCCUUCGGGAAGCGUCAAGGCAACUUAGUGGCGGACGGGUGAGUAACGCGUGAGCAACCUGCCCUUGCGCGGGGGAUAACGUUUGGAAACGAACGCUAAUACCGCAUAACGUAUUCGGUUCGCAUGAACUGAAUACCAAAGAUUUAUUGCGCAAGGAUGGGCUCGCGUCUGAUUAGGUAGUUGGUGGGGUAACGGCUCACCAAGCCGACGAUCAGUAGCCGGACUGAGAGGUUGAACGGCCACAUUGGAACUGAGAUACGGUCCAG
rnacentral:rRNA from 1 species